CUAACAGACAUUUAAUUGUAACCAGACAACUCGACGUACAGAAACAGAGAGGUGGAGGGCCCUGCUCAAUGAGCUUACAUUCUAGAGGGAGUGGGGUAUAGUGACACAAAGGGUAAAAGUAGGGGUAUGAACAGGGCCGGCGCUUCCUAUAAGGCGAACUAGGAAGCCGCCUAGGGCGCCAUAUAGGAGGGGGCGCCCUGCGCCCCAUCGCUAGCCCUUUAAAUGCUG